ACAAAUAUAUCAUGUGAUUGCUAACCCUUUUUUGUGCAGUGACAAACAGGGAGUCUUUAAAUAGUCACCAAUAGUAUGAAUUCAAGACACUAAAUUUAAGGUAUAGCAACAUAUUUGUUACCAACUUUUUCUUUACCUUUUUAGACUGUGAAUUUACCUUUUGUGUCUAUCUAUUUUUUGCUAACCCUAAAACUGUGAAGCUAGAUAGGUUGAAACAAAAGGGUAAGUGAGGAAAGUUUAAUCAACUUUGUGGUUUAUUGAUGAGUUUUUUUUUUAAUCUCAAUUUUGAAUCCCAGUUUUUUUUUUUUUGAUAAUUUGAAUCCCAGUUAAUGCCUUAGACUCAAUGAAAUGUGUGGCUGCUGUAAAAAGGAAAGGAGAAGUGCAAGAAGACGAUAUUUACAUUAAGUUUCUCACUUCCUUUUCAUUGACGAAGAAAGAGGUAGUACAUUAAGCUAUCUUCCAUAAAUUAAUUUAUUAUUGCCAUCUAUCUUUUAUAUUUGUUCAUCAUCCUAAAAACUACAGACUUAUAUGAAGAGUAUAUAAAGAACAAAAUAACAGUACAGGGGAUGUCAUCUUAUUAUAUUAAGCAACCACUUUAUAUAUCAAUGCAUACAAAAUAAAAUCAAUUAGCCGUUUGACUAUAAAUUUACUUGAACAUGUACUUAUGAUUGUAUUUUAUGCUAUUAGGUGAGUGAAGAUCCAUUCAUCUUGCUUCUUGCAAAGGUAGUAGAAAUUUUAUGUAUUUUGAUUGUCUUAAUUUAAUUUUGUUCCCGGUUGAUUUGGAAGAAGCAGAACAGUGGAUAGUAUAAUGGGUUGUUAGCUUUUUCAUGUAUAAGACUUGGUUUUGGAGUUUUUCAUUAGUUUGGUUUUGGAGUUUUAUAGUUUGAUUUUGGAAAAUUGGAUAGAAGCAAUGCUUGGGCAGUUGGUAAUCCUAUAGAUUUGAUGCUUUUAAGCAGUUUUGGUUCA
rnacentral:lncRNA from 1 species